CAGUCGCCGCGGGAACACGUAGGUGGCAAGCGUUGUCCGGAAUUAUUGGGCGUAAAGGGCUCGCAGGCGGUUUCUUAAGUCUGAUGUGAAAGCCCCCGGCUCAACCGGGGAGGGUCAUUGGAAACUGGGAAACUUGAGUGCAGAAGAGGAGAGUGGAAUUCCACGUGUAGCGGUGAAAUGCGUAGAGAUGUGGAGGAACACCAGUGGCGAAGGCGACUCUCUGGUCUGUAACUGACGCUGAGGAGCGAAAGCGUGGGGAGCGAACAGGAUUAGAGACCCCGGUAGUCCCUGUCUCUUAUAC
rnacentral:rRNA from 1 species